UGGGGAAUAUUGCACAAUGGGCGCAAGCCUGAUGCAGCCAUGCCGCGUGUGUGAAGAAGGCCUUCGGGUUGUAAAGCACUUUCAGCGAGGAGGAAGGUGGUGAGCUUAAUACGCUCAUCAAUUGACGUUACUCGCAGAAGAAGCACCGGCUAACUCCGUGCCAGCAGCCGCGGUAAUACGGAGGGUGCAAGCGUUAAUCGGAAUUACUGGGCGUAAAGCGCACGCAGGCGGUUUGUUAAGUCAGAUGUGAAAUCCCCGGGCUCAACCUGGGAACUGCAUUUGAAACUGGCAAGCUAGAGUCUCGUAGAGGGGGGUAGAAUUCCAGGUGUAGCGGUGAAAUGCGUAGAGAUCUGGAGGAAUACCGGUGGCGAAGGCGGCCCCCUGGACGAAGACUGACGCUCAGGUGCGAAAGCGUGGGGCAGCAAACAGGAUUAGAUACCCUGGUAGUCCACGCUGUAAACGAUGUCGAUUUGGAGGUUGUGCCCUUGGGGCGUGGCUUCCGGAGCUAACGCGUUAAAGUCGACCGCCUGGGGAGUACGGCCGCAAGGUUAAAACUCAAAUGAAUUGC
rnacentral:rRNA from 1 species